rnacentral:rRNA from 1 species
UACGUAGGGUGCGAGCGUUGUCCGGAUUUACUGGGCGUAAAGAGCUCGUAGGUGGUUUGUCGCGUCGUCUGUGAAAUUCCGGGGCUUAACUCCGGGCGUGCAGGCGAUACGGGCAUAACUUGAGUGCUAUAGGGGUAACUGGAAUUCCUGGUGUAGCGGUGGAAUGCGCAUAUAUCAGGAGGAACACCGAUGGCGAAGGCAGGUUACUGGGCAGUUACUGACGCUGAGGAGCGAAAGCAUGGGUAGCGAGC